GUGCUCGCUUCGGCAGCACAUAUACUAAAAUUGGAACGAUACAGAGAAGAUUAGCAUGGCCCCUGCGCAAGGAGUUGACAAGGCUCUAUUUGAAAUCCAAAGAAAGAAG